AGGAAGUUAGUCCAACACAAGACCUCUGAUUUCGACUCAGAAAACCACGGUUUAAAUCCGUGACCUCCUU
rnacentral:tRNA from 1 species